AAGGAGAGGAUUUUUUUCUGACUUGGUUUCUCUCUGCAAUGGACAGACACUCCCAUUGACAUCCUUGAAGCUCUAGCACACCCAAAGGCCAUAACGUCAAGUUUCAACAUCUUGGAGGCUCCCUGAAUUAGAGUUAUUAGCAAAUAGAGCAUUGUUUCAAAAUUUGAAGUGGAAUAUGGAUGCUACUGUAUAUCAACAAUGGAGAAGAACAACAGUAGCAGCUAGUUGUAUGGCUGCUAUAGCUGCCAUACUUGUCAUAUUGGAUGAAUGUGACUAUGACGAGGAGGAUGAAGAAGCACCGCCUAAAAA